UGCUUAAGUUUCCAAGCCUUUUGCUAAAGAUGCUGCCACGCUGUGUCUAGAUAUCCAAUAAUGUGAUCAAUUGCUACUCACCUUCCACCGAGACGCAUGCCAAAGUCACAACAGACGUUGUCUGAAGGAAAGCAAUGCCAUUUAUUAUCUCACUGGAUGUUAAAGAUAGAACCAUAUUUAUUGUAAGAAGAAUCUGAUGGAAGAAGCCCUUGAAUGCUAAUGCUAUCCUGUAAAAAAAAAACUAUCCUAGAGGCCAUUGACAACAAUGACUGAUAAUGAGUGAAUGUUCAUGUGAUCUGUUACACAACACUAAGCUCUUAUUUCACUGUCUGCAGUUAUGUUCAGCCUUCAAACUCCUCUUGGUUGGAGAUGGGAAAAGGGGAUGGAAGCCAAAUGGACAGAUUCAGAGGAGAGGGUAAAGAGACCAGCUAGAAGCCUACAGGGAUCUUUCUCCCAGAAUGAGUGAGGCUUAAAAAAAAAUUUAAAAAAAGAUAUGUUUUGUGGAGAUGGUGUCUCCAAAUGCCCUCAUGAAGUCAGUUUUCCAGCUGAAAGCAUCAUGCAUGGAGAAAUUGAAGGAGCUCCAGAAACUGUUGAGCGGCCAGAAGUGUUUCAGGUGUUCCCUGCUCUCCAGAACACACCUAUACAAGCUGUCCAAGCGGCCGGUACAGUUCAAGGGAGUGUUGCCAGCAGUACAGGUUCAAUGCAUACAUACACAACAUUAACGGUGUGCAUUCUGCUUCCCACAGCUGCACAGCUCUCAUUGCCCACUAAUGGUAUAGUUCCUUGAAGAUGUUCAUACAAGUCAUAUCCACACUAACAUUGCAAAUAGGUGCCAGCCUGCAG